rnacentral:rRNA from 1 species
AUUGAACGCUGGCGGCAGGCUUAACACAUGCAAGUCGAGCGGAGAUGAGGUGCUUGCACCUUAUCUUAGCGGCGGACGGGUGAGUAAUGCUUAGGAAUCUGCCAUUUAGUGGGGGACAACAUUCCGAAAGGAAUGCUAAUACCGCAUACGUCCUACGGGAGAAAGCAGGGGAUCUUCGGACCUUGCGCUAAAUGAUGAGCCUAAGUCGGAUUAGCUAGUUGGUGGGGUAAAGGCCUACCAAGGCGACGAUCUGUAGCGGGUCUGAGAGGAUGGUCCGCCACACGGGGAGUGAGACACGGCCAAGCCUCCUACGGGAGGAAGCAGUGGGGAAUAUUGGACACAGGGCGGAAGCCUGAUCCAGCCAUGCCGCGUGUGUGAAGAAGGCCUUUUGGUUGUAAAGCACUUUAAGCGAGGAGGAGGCUACUAGUACUAAUACUACUGGAUAGUGGACGUUACUCGCAGAAUAAGCACCGGCUAACUCUGUGCCAGCCGCCGCAGUAAUAC